UACGUAGGGGGCAAGCGUUGUCCGGAAUCAUUGGGCGUAAAGAGCGUGUAGGCGGCUCGGUAAGUCCGCUGUGAAAGUCCAGGGCUCAACCCUGGAAUGCCGGUGGAAACUGUCGAGCUAGAGUCCGGAAGAGGCGAGUGGAAUUCCUGGUGUAGCGGUGAAAUGCGCAGAUAUCAGGAGGAACACCAAUGGCGAAGGCAGCUCGCUGGGACGGUGCUGACGCUGAGACGCGAAAGCGUGGGGAGCAAACAGG
rnacentral:rRNA from 1 species